UCCCUGGAGGGAAGGGUGAAUGUGUC
rnacentral:piRNA from 1 species